AUUGUAUCAUCUUCUUCAAGUUACCAGCCGAACCUUACCUCUCUCCAUAGCUGGGGUUUUUUCCAACUUUCAAGCUUCAUAAUCAAGAAGAGCGAAAUUCGAGAGUAGAUCGGGGAAAAGAAAAAGUAAAGGACUAAAUUGUAAAGUUUAGUCACAUUUUGUAUCGAGUACUUAUCUAGCCACUCGGGGAUCGAAGGAAACGUCGGAGGCCGAUCACACUAUCAAAGAAAUAACUCGGUAUAAUUAGACAUUUUGUUUUGUGUAUGGCAUGUAUAGAAACUUAGCCACUUUUGGUAUUAUAUGAACAAUGAAUAGUGUGUAAAUACUUGCUAGUGAUUAGCUAAUAAAAAUGGCCGAUGAUAUGCAUG